UACGUAGGUGGCAAGCGUUGUCCGGAUUUACUGGGCGUAAAGAGCGCGCAGGCGGUCGUUCAAGUCGCGUGUGAAAGCCCCCGGCUCAACUGGGGAGGGUCACGCGAUACUGAUCGACUCGAAGGCAGGAGAGGGUAGUGGAAUUCCCGGUGUAGUGGUGAAAUGCGUAGAUAUCGGGAGGAACACCAGUGGCGAAGGCGACUACCUGGCCUGUUCUUGACGCUGAGGCGCGAAAGCUAAGGGGAGCAAACGGGG
rnacentral:rRNA from 1 species